GUUUCGGUCUUUGAGCAGUUUUCAGAACAAUCAUUCAUUUGCUCUGUAAAUCAAGCUGGAAGCCAUAUAAAAAUGAAUUGAAAGUUGCAAUUUUUUGAGCUUUCUCAAGAAGUACCUUUUUCACGCCAAAUCAAUCAAUACCAUAUACAGUACAGACACACAGAGAGAGAGGGGGGGAGCAAGAGCGAGGAGGUGAAGAGAACAUACCAGAACUUGGACUUGGCACGGACCUCAUUGGUUGCCCAAAGCUUCAUGCGGUAGAUCUUCGGGUGCUCAUCCUUCUCCGAUGG